UGACGUAUAGCCAAAAUAGGUAAGGCAAUAACUUUUGAAGUUAUCAUAUAUAGGUUCGAAUCCUUUUACGUCAA
rnacentral:tRNA from 1 species